rnacentral:rRNA from 1 species
AUUGAACGCUGGCGGCAGGCCUAACACAUGCAAGUCGAACGGUAACAGGAAGCAGCUUGCUGCUUUGCUGACGAGUGGCGGACGGGUGAGUAAUGUCUGGGAAACUGCCUGAUGGAGGGGGAUAACUACUGGAAACGGUAGCUAAUACCGCAUAACGUCGCAAGACCAAAGAGGGGGACCUUCGGGCCUCUUGCCAUCAGAUGUGCCCAGAUGGGAUUUAGCUUGUUGGUGGGGUAACGGCUCACCAAGGCGACGAUCCCUAGCUGGUCUGAGAGGAUGACCAGCCACACUGGAACUGAGACACGGUCCAGACUCCUACGGGAGGCAGCAGUGGGGAAUAUUGCACAAUGGGCGCAAGCCUGAUGCAGCCAUGCCGCGUGUAUGAAGAAGGCCUUCGGGUUGUAAAGUACUUUCAGCGGGGAGGAAGGUGUUGUGGUUAAUAACCACAGCAAUUGACGUUACCCGCAGAAGAAGCACCGGCUAACUCCGUGCCAGCCGCCGC